AUCUUCAGCUUUCAGGAGCUCAUCAAAUUUCAAGUUUCAGAGUCGGCAACAAGAACUCUAUCCAAGCAACAAAGAAAAUUUGCGAGGACAUUUAAAGGACCUGUUGUUAUAGAUGAAAUAGACGACGAGGGCAAUUACAUUACGUUACGAAAUAAUUCAACAAUACCAAUAAAGGAUGUUGACCUAAAUGGAUGGAAGUUGAAGCGCAUCGUGGAGUCUAGAUCUAUCAGACGUGAAAGUAAUGAGUAUGAGUAUGUCUUUCAGAAGUAUGUUCUUAACUCUGGAGCUCAAUUGAAGGUCUACGCCAAGUCACAAGAGGCUCUUGCCUUGCCAGGGGAUCUUGUCUAUGAAGGCGCAGAGACAUGGGGAGCAGGCAACAGGGCAACAACAAUAUUAUACAAUCAGAGUG
rnacentral:sRNA from 1 species